rnacentral:rRNA from 1 species
CAAUAGCGUAUAUUAAAGUUGUUGCGGUUAAAAAAGCUCGUAGUUGGAUUUCUGCUUAGAGUGACCGGUCCGCCUUCGGGUUGGUAUCAGGCUCGCUCUGAGCAUUCUCCUGGGGAGCAUGGCCGCGCCUCGUUGUGCGGCCUGUUGCCUGGGUCUUUUACUUUGAGGAAAUUAGAGUGUUUCACGCAGGCGCUUGCCUUGAAUACAUUAGCAUGGAAUAAUACGAUAGGACUUUGGUUCUUUCUUGUUGGUUUCUGGAGCCGAGGUAAUGAUUAAUAGGGAUAGUCGGGGGCAUUCGUACUUAACUGUCAGAGGUGAAAUUCUUGGAUUUGUUAAAGACGAACUAAUGCGAAAGCAUUUGCCAAGGAUGUUUUCAUUGAUCAAGAACGAAAGUUAGGGGAUCGAAGACGAUCAGAU